UUGCACACUUUGCAGCACGGGCUGGAGGUGAGUGCACGACAUCUGGUCAGUCAAUAUGUGCGCAUCUGGAUCAGAGGGCUCUGGUUUGGUCAGGAGCAGUAAAAUAGUUCCACUGACACCACAGACUUGAGGAUUAUCUGGACGAAUAAUCCGCCUUGAAUCAGGCCAAACCCCCUGAUCACUGAGGGCUGCAAAUCAGACCCCUAAUCUGUCCGGAAAUCAUCCAAAGUAUGGCCACUCUUAAGUAUCCUUGUGAAACAGCCAAUUUAAUGCAGCGAUUUAAACAUGACGAUUACUUCAACUCUUCCUCUAGACUUUUUUAAAACUUCUAUAAAACAAAACUUUGUCGUUGUUUGGCUGUCUGUUCUUUGGUGUUGGUCUGAUGUCUGUUUUUCUGUUUGGAAAGUAAAGGCGACCAAUCAGAAAUUUAAUGUUUCACUGAAACUCAAGUAUUGUAGAAAACCUGACAAUCUAUUGAAAGAUUGUCUCUGUCUGCACUUUUUUUACAGACCUUAGUGAUAAUUCUGGGGAAUGGAUUGCUGGUUGAGCUAUUGAUGAGCAUGCAAUAACAAUAAAUCAAACUUAUCUGAAAUGAUGAAAAGUGAAGGUUUGAAAAGCGUCAGAUGAGCUGAAUAUAACUAACUCAAGGCUAUGACUCAGAGUAAGACAUUUCCCUCAGACCAAAAUAAAAAAAAAAAUCAACAUUUAUCAGCCACAAAGAUCAUGUGUGAUUUAUUUGACGCCGUAUUUGCAAAUCCUCAUUAGAUCCUUUAAUAAAGAUGAACUCUGAUGGCACAGACAGCUUCGCCGAGCUCGCUCUGAACUCUCCUCCAGCCCGCUGACAGCUUGCUAAUCCUCCUCCUUCUCUCAUAUCAGCUUCUUCUGGAAUCACGGCUUAGUUUUCAUCAAGCCGGGCCGGCUGAUGGUAAUGAGCUUGGCAUUUCCAGAGCCAAACUGAUAGGAGUUGUAGUACAUAACAGUGAAGGACUAGUUUCCCCCUAAAAAACAUGCAUCACAGAGGUAAUAUCCGAGCAGUCUGAUCAGAUCUUUGCUUUUAAUUUGAAAUUGGCUGCGCCUCUAAAAUAAAACCCUCUCUCUGGGAUUCCUAAUGGAUUAAGAAAGCAGCAAUAAAAGCAUCUAUUAAUCUGAAGGGGGAUAAGUAAUUGCAGGUUUUUUGGGGGGCAUAUUGAAAUGUCAGAAUUUAAUACGACUGGCUGUGUUGUGCCUCUUCCCCACUGUGCCUCCCCUCUCUGCUGCUCUUAGAUAAUGAAACCCAACACGUACUUUAUAUUUGUCUCUGCAUUUCCACCCCAGCAGCCAGGACUCUGUGUGUGUGUGUGUGUGUGUCGGCCACGGUGCUGAGCAGUAGCGAUGGUCUAAGCUGUGCUGAUAGAUGGCUGGGCUGGAGGCUGCGAGGCGCUCCUGCUCGCCUCGGCUCCCACCGACAAAACGCGACCCCUUUAGCCCCGGGGUACAGCUUAGAAUGCGGCUAUUAGAGCAGUCCGGAAGAUUUCACGAGCUCGUUAUAGGCGAGGGUCGAGCACACAUGCACACAGACACACACACACACACACACAUAGGCAAGGCCAUGUACUGUAUGUGCACACAGACAUAGAGGCCACUUAGGAUGCAGGUCCAUGAGCAGAGAGGGCAGGAUUCAAGAAAACAACUGGAAAAACUCGUGAGUAAGAGCGAGGGAACGGCUACAGAAAUGGAUCCUAUUAUACACAAAACUGAGACAAUGAGAAGAUUUACAAUUUCAUAACAGCGGCAUCAUUAUAGAGGCGGCAGAUCUGCAGCAGAUUUACUCCUCAGGCAGGACGGCUUCUCAGGACUCGAACAGGUGCACUGUCAGAUUCGGUGCCCGUUAAUUAUGUUUGCUCGCGUAAGUGGAGCUUGUAAUUUUGUUUGCCUCCUCCAGUGGCGUUCGCAGCUUCUCUUGCAUUCACUUAAGUCACGGAGAGAAACAGACUCUGACGGCGCUGGAUGGCUGGACGGUAUUACUUUAUGUUAUUAAAUUUAUUAUGCAGGUCACUUUCAAUAAUGUUUGUUUAUUUGGGGUUUUAAUAGACACUUAUUACAGUGGCACCGCAAUGGAUGUAAGGUUUUCUUAAUCCUUCUCCAUCCCAGUUUAAUAAGUUUUACUGACACUGGCUAUACUAUGAAUCCCUAAAGCGCAUAUACAACAACGGCUCAUCUGCAUAUGUAUGAAUAUCACCGGAGAGCAGAGUGUUAAAGAGGAAGCCCAGAGCCACUGAGCAAUUAAAGGUUCACUCUCUGAAGGAGACUUAAAGGGGAGUUGACGUGUCCGGGGAGGUGGAGACCACCUUUGACCCGGAGCCUGUCCCAGUUUGAACAUCACGCAGUACGUUUACAUGACACUCAAGAAAACCGAAUUAUCGCCUUACUCCGAUUAAGACCGGAAAAAUAAAGUGCAUGUAAACACCUUAGUCUGACUAUAAUCGGAGUUUGAGAACUCCGAUUAAGACACCCAGAUAAUGCGAUUGGAAUUCGAUUUUCUCAACCAUAUAACCAGCGUAGUCGGAGUAUGAUGGACAACGCAUGUGUGCGUGCGCCUCCGUAACCCUGGAACAAAAACACCAGAGAAGAAGUGGCACUACUAUUUAAAGAACUUUCGACUCAGAAGCAACUGCAACAAAAGAAGGUCCACUUCUGAAACGAGGAGGAGAGUGCCGUUAUGCUCCCCUCCUGAAAGAAAUGGACAUUUUAAAGUAUACUGAUGGUCGCAAAAUGGGGAAAAGACCGCUGAAAAUACCCAUAUCGCCCCCUAGUUUUGGGGAGAAGGACACGUUCACAUCAAUAAUUCGAUUUUCUCAGCUGCAUGUAUAUGCGGACAAGGAGAUAAGUAUGAUUCAGCAAAAAAAAAAACAAAUUAUAAGCUAAGUCUGAUUAAGCUGUGCAUGUAAAUGUCUGAGACAAAGCAAUGAUGCUGUGAUGCUGACUUGAUUUUUGCUUGUUUUUCAGUUUUUAUCAUGUGCAACCUCUCAAUUUAACCGGCACUAUUCACAGUCAAAUUUUUCUGUAUACUAGAACCCCCAAAUUUACAAAAAGUGGGCACAUCCUUAGACCUCUGCAAUCAAUAUUAUCAUAUAUAAUGCAAAGGGAUGUACAUCAUUGAGUUAAAGUAUAUUGCCAGGAAAAUGGCAUCAAGAAGCAGGCUACCACCAAACACUGUAUAAUAACUGGACGUAACAUCAGUGGCGUCACUCAUUUCUUUGAGGCCAAUCGGCAGCAGUUUCCAUAAGGGCUGGGUGAUAAACAAAAAAGUUACCGAUACUGAAAUUUACAACAAUCAUCAUUUUGCCCAUAUCAAUAUAUUCAGUGUCAAAAUAAAUAAAUAAAAGUUGGUUUUGGAUGUGUGUAGGUAGGCUAUGGUCUCAUGUCCCUUCAAGACGCAGUCCUACGUCAGAGACAUGACUCCACCCCAUCCAGUCCGUGACAAAGAGGGAAAGACAGGUGAGGAGAUGGAGGACGGUUCAAAAGUUGUAGCGGCUGAAGUAGAGGAAGUUAAUGUGGGAGGGGGUGAGCAGCUUGUGAAGAAGUUAUAGUCCAUUUAUCAUUAUCAAGGUGAACUGCUCAAUAUAUCGGGAUAUUGAUUUGAGGCAUUAUCGCCCAGCUCUAGUUUCCAUACUGGUAAUGCUGAUCAACCUAUCAGAGGAGGGUCUGUGGCCUCCUUACAAAAAGCUACAGUCUGCCCGCCUGUCAAUCAAAUCAGCCACAACUUUCAUCACAAAAAUAUUCACUCCAAUCUUUCUCACUUCUGCAUCAGCUACAUUCCUCAAAACUCAAUGUGAAUCCAUGUGUAAAUUAAAGUACGGUAUAUUUUUUAUUAACACCCUGAUGAUUCGAAUUGAUGAUUCUACGGUCUAUUGGAAGGACGACGGCUCUCAUACUUGUACCUUUGACCCAUUUCUCAGUCACACACUUGCACGUAUUUGAAGCCAGUCUUUUCAAACUCUCCCUUUUCCAACACUACUCUCUCUGACACCAUAUUUCUUGGCUGUUUGACAGCUGUUUAAUGUCUCUGCUGCACUGAAAACCAUUUUCUUCAAAAUCGGCUCUGCCUCGGUCAUAAGUUGACUUGCCCUACUUUUAAGCAACUUCAUUUAACCUGCCCGUCCUCGUCUUAUCCCCCCCUGGAAUCUUUGUGGUGAGUCACAGCUGUCCUCAGUCAUGAGGGGAAGGUACACUUACUUUACAGAUUAGUGGAGCCGACCUGUCAAAUACUCAGGUCUUUAAAAAUCGUCUAACAAGACUUCUCCUGCUGUAAUGCCAGUAGUUACUAACCAAAUUCUUCCGUUUUAUUCUGCAGGGACCUGGCUGCAGAAUUUGUCAAAAACACACAAUAGUUGGCAAUGGGACUCACAGUUCC